GCACCGGUGGUGCAUGGUGCAUUCCUCAGAGUCAUUCAAUUUGAAGGGUACAAUGUCAAUAGCCAUGAUUGAGGUGGCAUGGGGUUCGAUUCCCCGCCGGUGCA